rnacentral:lncRNA from 1 species
ACGCGAACACUGAAAUCCAACGAGCAAAUUGCGCUGCAAACUUGGAAAUUUUGCUCAACUACCCUGCAGAUCCAUCACCCUCACGUCUCUUUUCCCCCUUUCUAAGGGAUUUUCAAAUCCCUUCCACUGUUAUUUUUGAAAAGAGGCAGAGGAGUCCGAAUUUAAAAUUGAAAAAUUCACCCGAUUUCCCCCGAUUUUCUAGCUAUAUAAUCAUCUCUUUUGAUCACUAUUUGGGGAGAGGAAAAGAGGAGAGUGAUAUAGAUUCAUAAGAAGAAUUUUGAUUUCAUUAGUUGGUAAAUUAAGAAUUUCGAAUCUCGAGUUUUCGUCUUAAAGUUCUUUGUUCUUUGUCAUCGGAAGCUUUCGUCGGAGUUCUUUUUUCACGUGGUGGUGAAAUAGUUCGUUUCAACUCGUCGUCUCAGUCGCUGCCCGAAAAAAGGUAAUGUUUCCCCCUUCAUAGUAUUCUCGUCUCUUCAUUUAUUUUGAUGUGGUAUUUUCCGAUGUCGGAAAAUGUUUGUUCUGCGGCUGGCUCAUUGUCAUGUGCCGAGUUAAUGAUGUAUUGAUAUGAUGCAUUGUUCUUAGUUGAUUACUAUGAUUGAGUCUUUAUAUUGAUUCAGUUUUGUGUUAUGUAUUUAGUAUCAUUGCUCUUUUACUCCUCUGUUUGAAAUCGAUUUGCUAUUUUCCUUCUCGUAUGCUUGCUUUGAUGUCGUUGAAUCAGUAUAUUCUUGUUUUCGCUGCCUUUUAGCAUCGCUGUUUUCCUUUAUUCAGCUUUCUAUUUAGCUUAGACCGGUUAGCUUUCUCUAUCUCUUUUUUAGUCGUAUUAUUAUAUUGUCGUUGGACUGAUGCCCUGGAAAUUGAUGAAUCAUGUUUAUCCCUUCCCUCACUCCUUUCGCCAAAGUGGUAAAAAAUAUUAAAAUCAUAUUCCUCCAUAUUACAAAUUAUGUAAAUUUUUGUCAUACCUCACUAGUUUAUUUACUGGUUUGUUCAUACUCAAAGUGUUCGACUUCGUUUCGGUGUUACAUGGGUCUGUUGCUGCCUCUUCUAGAUGUACAAGAGUAAAUGAUUCUAUAUCUCUUCAUGGUUUGUAGUUUUACUAAGCAUUAGAAAAGAAUUUGUUCAAUGAGCGUUGCCUCGUUUUACUUUAAAUUAAGCAUUUACUUGUUAUUAGGUGUUCGAAAGCGGACAAUUGAUUUGAGUUCUUCUCUUAUUGUGCUACAUAGUUGCGAAGAUUUAAGAUUACUUGAAUACUAGAAGUUGUAUUGUUAUUUUCCAGUUAUGUCUUGGCAGUGUAUAUCUAGUUUCAUUUCCCUCAUUAAAAUUGAUACAGUACCCUCAUACAUUAUAAUUUGAUCUCAACUUUAUAUACAUUAACAGUGGCUUUAGGAAUUACUUAAGUGUACUGAAUCAUGUUCUUCUCUUAGUCUUGUUAAAAUAUCAAGGCCAAAUCACGGAGACAAUUUGUUGUAUUUAUUCACUUGAGUGUCGGUCUAGUAAAGUGAUUUUCAAUUCACCUGGAAGUGUUGUUACUGAUUCGGGAAGUCAAAUUGCCAAACAUGCUUAGUUGAUUAAUUAAAGUGAUACUAAUUUGUUUCCACUUCUUUUUUUUUGUAUGCAAAUUUAUCCGAGUCCACUUGGGACUCCAUCCCCGCAUCUCGUUGAGUUAGGAUCCAUUAUUGAGUCGGCCUUCAUCUUUGUUCGAGUUUCGGGAGCUUCCACAAAACAGUACGCAGACACACCAGUUUCAGAAAGCUGAAAACAUGCUGUAUACAACAUUAUACACUGAUAUACAGGUUCAGAAAUGAUAAAUACAGGGCUAAGGCGGAAUAUAUAUGUUUGGAAGCAAGAAAUACCUGAAAAGUGCUGAUAUACAUGCCGAUAUACACUGAUAUACAUCAGUUGUAUACCAAAAACGGGAUUGAGUAAAUCCCCAGAAAUUACAGCGAAAUUGGCCCAAAANNNNNN